UCUUAACUGCCAAAAGCCAGAAGCCAGAAGCCAUUAUGACACAACAGUCACAAUGAUAAGCAAGGUAGGAGCAACUGUAAAAAUGGAAGCAGCUCCUGGUAGGCCUCUUUGGGGUCUAGAAACAAUAUGGCCACACCAAGAAUUACUUCUGUACCUCAUAUACCAGAUGAUAUCAAAAGCUGCCAGCUUUGGGUGGUGCUCAAAGCAUAACAGGGCUUCUCAGCAAGUCUAUACUGUGGUGCAAACAGCCCUGCCACUUGGGUCAUACAAUCUGGAAGAGCCUAUGGUGUUGGAAAUAUCAAUGAUCUUUCACUGUGGGAAGUAACUGCCACCCCUCUGGAAACAACUACUGCAUUCUCAUAAGGCUAUACUUUCCCCACGCUGUUCCCAGCCAAAGACUGGACAAGUAAUGGGAUCUAAUUGAACUAAAGAGCUCCUGCACAGCAAAAGAAACUACUCACAAAAUGAACAGGCUACCUAUAGAAUGGGAGAAAAUUUUUGCAAUCUAUCCAUCUGACAAAUAUCCAGAAUCUACAGAGAACUUAAACAAAUUUCCAAGAAAAAAACCCCAUCAAAGAGUGGGUGAUGGACAUGAACAGACACAUCUCAAAAGAAGACAUUUAUGCAGCCAACAAACAUGAAAAAAGAGCUCAUCAUCACUGCUCAUUAGAAAAAUGCAAAUCAAAACCACAGUGAUAUACCAUCUCACACUGGAUAUAAAAUAUAACAUAGAGGCAGAAAAAGAUGGUGAAAUGGAAGCCUCCACUGAUCUUCCAUUUCUGCCACACUGCAACCCCUGGCAAGGACACCAAGUUAGCAACUAUGUACACAGAUAUCAGAGGUAUUACUGUACUUUCUUCAUGUCUAAGGAAGUCUAGGGCUAGCUUGGCUUUUUCAUUGUUCAUAAGUGAUGCCAAAGAAUAC